UACGGAGGGGGCUAGCGUUGUUCGGAAUUACUGGGCGUAAAGGGCGCGUAGGCGGCCCACUAAGUUGGAAGUGAAAGCCCGGAGCUUAACUCCGGAAUUGCUUUCAAAACUGGAGGGCUAGAGAGCGAUAGAGGAUGGUGGAAUUCCUAGUGUAGAGGUGAAAUUCGUAGAGAUUAGGAGGAACAUCGGUGGCGAAAGCGACCAUCUGGAUCGCAUCUGACGCUGAGGCGCGAAAGCGUGGGGAGCAAACAGG
rnacentral:rRNA from 1 species